GAGGUUAUUGACAAAGUGCCCGCGACGGAGAGAACAGGCAGAUCGUAAAGACGCCGUAAAUACAUCCAUGUAGGCUCGAGCCGCGCCAUCCUUGCCUUGGCGCGGACGCUUU
rfam:Yersinia pestis CO92 complete genome